UUCUGCUUUAUUUCACAAUUUCUUUUCCCAGAUCAAGAUGUGGUCUGUAAUAUGAAAACUCGGAAGGCCUUGGAAGGAAUAUCGUACUGGGACUGCUGCUGAAGGCCAGAUGCUUGAGCCAUGAAUCAUUGUGACAAAACAGGGGUGCUCUCUGUGGUCAGAAACACUGGAUCUGUGUGUCAGACUGAUGAGGAGACACUGCACACGGCAAAGAGGCUGAGCCACAGUCUUGGAAUCCAGUCCUGUCCGUCCCGUCCUUUCUUGUGGACAGGAAGUGCUUCCAUCUCCUGGGCCACAAGCAUAGAAAUAGAAUUGGCCACAACACACUGAGUAAUCUUUAAUCUUAAGUAAGAAAAAGCAUAUGAACAAUCCAUCGCAAUUUUUAAAGUUGGUGUAAUUUGAAUUGGGAUGUCAUAUUUCUUAAUUAUAUAAAAGAACUGAAAUAUGCUAUAUAUAUAUGCUAUAUCCUAUUUGCAUUUGGUGUGAGCACAGCAUAAGACCGGCAUAGCACAUGAAUCAGCUAAUAUCCGGAUAAUUGUUGAACAGUGUCACAUCAGCAUGAGAUCAGGCCAUAAACCUCCGGUUCCAUAUGUGAUUUCGUUAAACCCACGGUUUGAUCUAUCACUGGUCUAGGAAUGUCUGUUUCUCAGUCUGUCGGCUUUUAUUGUUGUCCUUUUCCUUUCUUCUUAAUAAACAUGUAAUUUGCACUGUGAUUGAUAGUUUUUCAUGGCUGCUAUUUCAUUCCCCAUUUCCUUGUUGCUGUGUCCAAUGGCUAAACCAGCCAGCCCUCUCAGCCCUGGGGUCCCCAUAAAAGUGACGGGCUAACCGUAAAGUCCCUAUUCCACCAAGCAAGUUCCUCUCUGCAUCUCCUCCUGUAAUUCCCAUUACUGCCCUGGACUCCAGGAGCUCACAUCCCAAAAACAUGUUCACUCCUUUUCCUCUCAUCCUCCCCCACCUACUCAUUUUCCCCCUUUCUUCAACACAUGAAAACUUUAUUGCGCAUCAUUCAAAACAAUUACAAUAACGUUUGUGACUAAGAUAUAAGAGGGGCAUACUGGAGUCUAGACUAUGGAAGUGAUGUAACAGACAUAUCUGUAGUCUGUGGUCCGUAAGCUGCAUACUUUUAUGCUUGACUACACUGAAGGGGAAUGGCGACUACUAUUUUUAAUGUGUUGCAAAUCUCCUCAUAUCUUCAAAUCGCUUCAUUCCCAUUUGAUCCACAUUGUUUUAAACUAAUAUCCAGCUUUCCUUUCCUUCUCAUUGGUUACAAAAAUACAGCAAUCAGUAUCUCGUAAGUGUGUUUUCCUUGAUUUUUGCCAAACUGAAGCAAAACGGUUUGGAGAGCCCACAUGCUAUGAACCCACAUUAUGAAUAGCAUUUGAUUUAUGUUACACAUACAUUUUCCUAAUAAAGAAAUUGUUAAAGUGGCUCCUUGCUUAAAAGGAAAAAGACGGCCCCGAAAUAUUCUGUUACUAUAAUGCUGGUUUCAUCUCAUCUCACAUCUCAUUUUGCCUCCAACGAGAAUCCUAAUUACUUCUUCAUUCCUCUGGUAGCUAAGGAGUCCCAUUUCACUUUAAGUUCCACAAACCACACUUUCAAACAAAUCCAUUUUUUAUAUUGUCUUAUGACGUGAUAACAUCAGAAUAAUGUUACCUCUGGGGCUUUGUGACAGACAUAGAGGCUCCUCUGAGAAAGCCACAGCUUUGAACAUGAAAUGCCAAUAGAGAUCUUCAAGGCUGUGAAUGUAACCACAAAGGCAUCAGUAGAUAAAUUAUGACCAUCACAGUUCACUACAUUGGACUGAAAACUACUCACGCUUGCAACAAUUGACUCAAAGACAAGUUAACAUGUGGUCACAGGCAUGUGUCUUUUUUAUGUGAGGUAAAAAUAGAAAAUGGGAAUUCAUAGUAGAUAGUGAGUUUGCGAAUCAAAGAGUCUACUGUGAAAGGCAUUACUUGCCUACAGCAACAUCAGUCUUGACUUGAAAAAUGAAUCAGUGUUUGUGUCAUGGCUGCACAUUCUUAAAAUGUAUGUCUACAUCCCAGCUCAAAUAUGUCGCAUUGCAUAUUGUGUAUGUCACACAUUCUGUAUCUAGGCUACUUAAUAAAAAAAUGUCUAAAGAAGUUAGACC